UCCCUGGUGGUCCAGUGGUUAGGACUUGGCACUUCCACUGCCGGGGGCCCAGGUUCAAUCCCUGGUCAGGGAA
rnacentral:tRNA from 1 species